AACUUUCGGCAACGGAUCUCUCGGUUCUGGCAUCGAUGAAGAACGCAGCGAAAUGCGAUAAGUAAUGUGAAUUGCAGAAUUCAGUGAAUCAUCGAAUCUUUGAACGCACAUUGCGCCCCUUGGUAUUCCGGGGGGCAUGCCUGUUCGAGCGUCAUUAUAACCAAUCACGCCUAGCGUGGACUUGGGGUUCGCGUCCCGCGGCCCUUAAAACCAGGGCGGUGCCCGCUGGGCUCUAAGCGUAGUAAUUUUCCUCGCUUUUGGGCCCCGCGGGUGCUCGCCACAACCCCUAAUUUUCUCAGGUUGACCUCGGAUCAGGUAGGGAUACCCGCUGAACUUAAGCAUAUCAAUAAGCGGAGGCU
rnacentral:misc_RNA from 1 species